rnacentral:rRNA from 1 species
AACGGGGUCUUCGGAUCUAGUGGCGGACGGGUGAGUAACGCGUGAGAAUCUGCCUUCAGGAUGGGGACAACAGUUGGAAACGACUGCUAAUACCCGAUAUGACGAAAGUUGAAAGAUUUAUCGCCUGGAGAUGAGCUCGCGUCAGAUUAGCUAGAUGGUGUGGUAACGGCGCACCAUGGCGACGAUCUGUAGCUGGUCUGAGAGGAUGAGCAGCCACACUGGGACUGAGACACGGCCCAGACUCCUACGGGAGGCAGCAGUGGGGAAUUUUCCGCAAUGGGCGCAAGCCUGACGGAGCAAUACCGCGUGAGGGAGGAAGGCUCUUGGGUCGUAAACCUCUUUUCUCAGGGAAGAACACAAUGACGGUACCUGAGGAAUCAGCAUCGGCUAACUCCGUGCCAGCAGCCGCGGUAAUACGGAGGAUGCAAGCGUUAUCCGGAAUGAUUGGGCGUAAAGCGUCCGUAGGUGGUCAUGUAAGUCUGUGGUUAAAGCGUGGGGCUCAACCCCAUAAGGGCCAUGGAAACUACACGACUAGAGUCAAGUAGGGGUAGAGGGAAUUCCCAGUGUAGCGGUGAAAUGCGUAGAGAUUGGGAAGAACACCGGUGGCGAAAGCGCUCUACUGGACUUAAACUGACACUGAGGGACGAAAGCUAGGGGAGCGAAUGGGAUUAGAUA